UGCGGGGUGCUAGACUGCAGUCGAACGCGAAAGUCCCCUUCGGGGGAUAAGUAGAGUGGCGCACGGGUGAGUAACACGUAGGUAAUCUACCUUCGGGUGGGGAAUAACCCAGGGAAACUUGGGCUAACACCGCAUAAUGCAGCGGCACCACAUGGUGACAGUUGUUAAAGCGGGGGAUUUUAGGACCUCGCGCCUGAAGAGGAGCCUGCGGCAGAUUAGCUAGUUGGUAAGGUAACGGCUUACCAAGGCGACGAUCUGUAACCGGCCUGAGAGGGCGGUCGGUCACACUGACACUGACAUACGGGUCAGACUCCUACGGGAGGCAGCAGUCGGGAAUUUUGGGCAAUGGGCGAAAGCCUGACCCAGCAACGCCGCGUGAAGGAUGAAAUCCCUCGGGAUGUAAACUUCGCAAGAUUGGGAAGAAUUAGUAGGGGUUAAUACCCCCUAUGAUGAGGGUACUUUUUGUAAGCUCCGGCUAACUCCGUGCCAGCAGCCGCGGUAAUACGGGGGGAGCAAGCGUUGUUCGGAUUUACUGGGCGUAAAGGGCGCGUAGGCGGUCAGCACAAGUCAGUUGUGAAAUCUCCGGGCUUAACUCGGAAAGGUCAACUGAUACUGUGCGACUAGAGUGCAGAAGGGGCAACUGGAAUUCUCGGUGUAGCGGUGAAAUGCGUAGAUAUCGAGAGGAACACCUGCGGCGAAGGCGGGUUGCUGGGCUGACACUGACGCUGAGGCGCGAAAGCCAG
rnacentral:rRNA from 1 species